AUUGAACGCUGGCGGCAGGCUUAACACAUGCAAGUCGAGCGGGGUGAUGUAGCUUGCUACAUUACCUAGCGGCGGACGGGUGAGUAAUGCUUAGGAAUCUGCCUAUUAGUGGGGGACAACAUUCCGAAAGGAAUGCUAAUACCGCAUACGCCCUACGGGGGAAAGCAGGGGAUCUUCGGACCUUGCGCUAAUAGAUGAGCCUAAGUCAGAUUAGCUAGUUGGUGGGGUAAAGGCCUACCAAGGCGACGAUCUGUAGCGGGUCUGAGAGGAUGAUCCGCCACACUGGGACUGAGACACGGCCCAGACUCCUACGGGAGGCAGCAGUGGGGAAUAUUGGACAAUGGGCGAAAGCCUGAUCCAGCCAUGCCGCGUGUGUGAAGAAGGCCUUUUGGUUGUAAAGCACUUUAAGCGAGGAGGAGGCUACCGAGAUUAAUACUCUUGGAUAGUGGACGUUACUCGCAGAAUAAGCACCGGCUAACUCUGUGCCAG
rnacentral:rRNA from 1 species